UGACAAGCUGUUUCCUCAACCCAGCGGUACUGGAGGAAAUGGGAAGAAACUUCAAAAUAAAAGUACAGAUGACGAUUUUCAUCCUGCCAGAGCCUAGUGGUCCUGUUUGACCCAGAUCUGAAGGAAAAGCUGCCAAGGUCCAAAUACUUUUUUAGGAGGCCGAGGUCUGUUGGGGGGGUUCCGGGUCAGGACUGAGCACAGCUGGUAGCUUCUCUUUACAGCAUAAAGCUUUGCUUCACAGAACGCAUCUGAUUUACUCAGAACAAUUUGCCAAGCUCAGGAAGAUGAUGGACAUGGACAGUCCAGAUGUCUUCUGGAGAAAAGGUUGAUGACAAGACAAAGAUGGAGCUGUUUGGACCCAAUGGUGAUAAGAAUGUCUGAAGGAGUCAAGCUGAGGCCCGGUGGUGGUCCUGGUGACGGUGUCUUCCUCCUUUGUGUGCCGUGAUUCCUGAGUUUGGGUUGUCUCACUGUGUCUGGUGCCUUUUAAUAAGGAUUAUUUAGGUUUUUCUGCGUUUAGUGGACCCAGUCCCUCAGUACUGGGUCCUGCGACUGGUAACCUCAGCUCCUGUGGGUUUUUGAUUUUAUUUUUUAUCUGUGAUAACAAGUGUUUUUAAAUCCGGUUUUAAUAAAUUG